UUAAUUUUAUUAUUUUGAUAUUAUUUUAAUGUUAUUUUUGAAAAAAAACCAAAAUAUAAGUUCUGGAGUCUGUCUACUGUUUGAUUUGUUUGAUUAUAUUAAAUUUAGAUAUAAUUAUAAGCUUUAAAAUAUAAAGUUAUUGAUGGAAAGCUAAAUUAACUUGGUAUUUAACCGGUGAAGCAGAUGAAUAAAAAUCUAACAAAAUUUUUAUUUUACAAGCCAUUAUUUUAAAGGAUUGCUUUAAGAAUACUGUUCAAACAUGCUUGUAAUUUUAUGUUACAUUUAUGAUUUAAUAUUAUUUCUUUACAGGAAACCGUUUACCUCAACCAGAGUUAUAUUUCAUAGAAUUAUGUUGACCAUGAUCCAAAUAUUGCCAUGGGUAUAAGAUAGAUGUUUGAUUUGCAAACUGGAUUUAAAUCAUAUUUUCUUUAAACAUAUUUAUUUGCUCUCUAUAUGCUUACAAAUAAUUUAUUUAAAAAAAUUAUAUACUUAUUUACUAAACCGUUUUAUUUCAAUCAAUUAUUUGACUUUUUAUAUUUUUCAAGGAAUUUUUAUAGUAUAUUAUAUUGCGUUAUGUUUUUUUUUUUUUUUUUUUUUUUUUGUAUGGUGAAAACUAUGUUCAAUGUGCAAACUAUAUUUUAGUUUAUCAAAAUAUAUUUUUAUUGAUGUGUUCUGUCUCUGAUUCUUUCUUUUUCAGAUGUGCACUUAUGUCUAAGGCUUAUGCUUUGCAAAAGGUUUACCAUUGUACUUAAGUUGCUGUGGUUUUACUUCCAACCUGGCAUAUAAGAUUAGGUAUACCAGAUGCACUUAGUAUCUGAAGUUAUUUGUCAAUAACUGGUGAUCAGACUAUUUCAAACGAACACGUUUUUAAGGGCUUAGUUUCUUAUCUUUGUUGUAUUAGCUCUAAACUUGACUGUUUCAAUAUUUUCAUUAUAUAUAAUUGCCUGUUUUUAGGUGAAAGUUAGAAGUCUGCAGACUGCAACGUAAAUCAAUUUUCAACACAUGGUUUCCUGAAUAUAUUUAGUUUUCGAUUGAAAUGA
rnacentral:lncRNA from 1 species